UUAAAGUAAGUAGAAAUACUCAUGGUCACUGUUGGAUCUGAAGCUCGACUUUUAGCAGGCUAUUUGGGCAUUUUAGCACGAAAUGCAAAUAUGUUGCCCAUCAACUACGAAUCAUGGCAUCACAUGCCUGAUAGCAACAAAAACUAGGCUCUCGCUAAUAUUAAGGAGAGAUUUGCUUUAGAAGUCUCCGAUGAUUAUAUCAAGAAGGCAUUAGGUAAAAGAUGGAGAGACAAUAAAAGCACUUUAAAGAAACAAUAUUUUAAGAAAGACAUAAGCCUCGAGGAAAAACUGAGAAAUGUUCCGCCAGGAAUGCUGAGGUAUCAAUGGGAAGAUGCGGUUAGAUUUUGGAAUUCAAAGAAAGGAGAGGACCGUGAGCGAGUUGGAACAAGCAGCAGGCAAAAACAAAAAUUCACGCACACGGCAGGGUCGAGAAGUUUUGCUUCUGUAGCUGAGGCCGAGGAAGUCAAAUCCGGACAAAAAGUUGGACGCCUUGACUUUU